rnacentral:rRNA from 1 species
GAUUUAUCGGUUCCCUUGAAUGACACUUUGCCGUGGUGUCGGUCUUGCUUAACCAUCUGUGGUGGCAACACUGGCACGUGGAACAAAGUCGUUGAUGGAUGCUACCUGGUUGAUCCUGCCAGUAGUCAUAUGCUUGGCUCAAAGAUUAAGCCAUGCAUGUGUAAGUAUGAACUAAUUCAGACUGUGAAACUAUGAAUGUGAUGAGUCAUAUAUUAUACACUAUUCAUAACCUUAAUUUACCAUUGUUAAUGAUUCUUGGUGUCUAAUUGACUUUGUUUGGCAUGGUUUAGUGUUUUGGGUUUUAUUAGACUAUUAUUCCUAAAAUGAGUUAAUUUGGGAUUAUUUAGUCUAAUUAAAUCUAAUUCCAUUUUCAGGUCAUAUUUGGCACCAAGGACAUUUUGGACAUUACAAGCGGAUGAUGUGUGCAAAAGUGAAGAUUGUAUAUUGUAUUAGGAUCUUUAUUUCCGUUUGGGUUUUGGGCCCAUUGUUUAGGGCCCAUUUCCGUUUUACACCAUUUAAACACAUGAUUUUCGGUUUUGAAGACACACUUUAACAUUACAUUACUUUUUGGCCUUAGAACAUUAUUAUUCCCGUUUUCCCUCUUUUGCUCUCCUAGGGUUUAUGCAUUUUCGUUUUUGCUCUUCUCCAUUUUCGGUUUUGCUUAAUCCUUCCAUGGAAGGCUAAAUUUUUGGACUAAACUCCUUUGGUAAUGUAUCACAACUCUUGAGGUUUGGUUAUUAAUGCAAUUUCGGUUUCUUAUUUGUUAAUUUCUUCUAUUCAAUUUUUGGAUGUGGUUUGCUUAAUUCCAUGCCUUAGAAAUAGAUUUGUGAACUGAUUUUCGCUUAGUCAAUCAUUUCUCUAGUGCAUGAAUGCUUAGUUCGUGUGAAUUUGUUUAUGAGUUGAUUAUCGCUUAGUUACUUGAUUAUGAACAAAUUAGAGAUUCAACGAUUAGAAUAUGAUUUUGAUACUGUGAAACCGAGGAUUGAGUUGUGAUUAAGGAAACCAAAGGGGUUUAGCCGUUUCACUUUUCUGUUAAUUACUGUUUCUGUUUUAGUUUUAGAUUCAUACCAUAAAAACAACAAAACCCCCCUUUGUGUGUGUGAGUACAAGGUGUUUGAACUAUUGCCUGAAAGAUAAUCCUUGUGAAACGACCUAGGAGUCACUUCCUAGUACUAUACUUUAUUAUUAUAUUAUUUGUAUCGAGUACGGCCUCGAUCAAAUUUGGCGCCGCUGCCGGGGAUUAUCGGUUCAUACAAAGGUUCUUUGUAGUUUCAUAAAGCUUAGUGUAGUGUAGUUUAGUUUGUCAUUUCUAUAGUGCAUUUUUGGUGAAAAUUCUGAUAUUAGUGCAAAAAGUUGUUCAUUGUUCACUAUUUUGCCAUUUUUCAUGAUUUAUGUGAUUCUGUUUUGCCGGUUUAUAUAGCUGUGGGUGGAAUUUUUGCAUGAAAUUUUGUUUCCACACUUCUUUCAUCCCACAUUGAACACCAGAGAAAGCAGAACCACUUUCCGAACUGUAGUUUGUGAGAUACAACUUUACGGUGAAUAGUGAAUUGUUGAAAAUUUGUUUUUAGGAUAACUUUGUCUCCGUAUAUCAGAAUUGGACAUAUGACAUAUGUAUUUGAGGUAGAAAAAUAACCCUUUUUACUAUUUCUUUUUUAUUUUUUAAGGUUUAUUUUUUAUUUUUCAAGGUUUAUAGUGAAACUGUUUUGCAUUUUUAACAUAGUUAGGCUUUGAAUUUUUUCUUGAAACUUUUUGUACAUGUUCUAUAUGAUUUUAGGAUGUUAUUGAUGCAAAUACUUGGUUGAUUCUACAAUUAUAACAUGCAUUUCCAUUACUUUUGCCUUACUUUCUUCCUACUGUUGAUUGUAUUGCAUGACUAGGGGAAAUACAGGUCAUUUGCAUCCAAUAAAUCCUGAAAUUGAUAGAACAUAUCAUAGGUUAGUUAGACAGAGUAGAAAUUUACCUUUCCAUAGUGUACCUGAUUCUGUUUCUUAUUCUGAUUCUAUUUCUGAUUCUAUUCCUGUUUCUGUGCAUUCUGUGCAAUAUACUGAUUUUGUGCAUUAUGUUGCAUUGUCUGAUUCUGAGCAUUUUGAAAAUUCUGUGCACUCUGAAAAUAUGGCUCAACCACCUACUCCUCCUGGUCCUCGUGAGAGGACAUUAAGGGAGUUGGCUGCACCUGAUUUCACUUAUGAUAGCUUGUGCAUCCAGUAUCCCAAUGAGGAUGUGCCAUAUGUGCUUAAAACUGGACUAAUCCAUUUGU